rnacentral:lncRNA from 1 species
UGAACAAUACAGAAGAUCCUCUUUUGAGGGGUCUUCCUCUUGCUUUCCAGACUGGCAGCCUCCAGAAAGCAAUCUGCAUCGUGGAGAUGGCUCUAUGGGUAAAGGACUCGCCUUCAAGCAAGGUGACCAGAGGUGGGGCCAUCAUCAUACAUGUGAGUACCAGGGUUACUGGACAUUGAUCAUAAGGAAGGAUCUGUGGGAAGACAAUCACAAGCUGAACAUCAAGAUUAUUUCCAAUGAAAAAAAAGACCAGAGAACACUUCAUCCCAAGUCACUGACGACCAGAAACUUGUGUUUCAGAACAACAGUAACAAGAUGUAUAUAUGGAGGUGUGAAUUCCACUUCUAGAAUUAACUAGGUCAAAAGUUUUUGCUGUUGCAUCCAAAUGAACCAAGAUAAGAAUCCACCGAGCGACCUUAUCCCUCUCGAGAAGCCAGCACUCACAUCCAGAGUGUGCAGUCUUUCCUUCCUUGACUUUUUUUUCCCCUUAAGUCUAAACCUAAAACUAUGCUAGAGACUUUUCUUAAUAUAGACCUCAACCCUUCCUCAAGAUUAAAAAAGAAUCCAUAUUCUGAUUCCUUUUUAUGAAAAUUGUAGCAUCAUAGCUAGAAUUACUUAGUUUGAACUGAAAUAGGAAUCCAUACCAGGGUCUCUUUUUAGACAAAAACCACUGAU